rnacentral:rRNA from 1 species
AUGGAGCCUCAUUUUUUUACUGGAUGUAGUAAGCUAGGUGCGGAUGCUCUUGAUCCCUUGUAUUUUCUCACCACUACGUAUGUCUUGGAUGUAAAAUUGAUUGUUUCCAAGAUGGCCAGUGAUGAGGAUUCACUAGAUGAUCAAAACCCUAGAUCUUGGACCGUUAGCAACACUAGUGCUAUUAACAAGACAGAAGAAGCAUCCAGCACGGUCCAGGAUCAUCACCCACAAAAAGCAGUAGUGAACUUCUUAAAGGAUGAGAAUACCACCAAAACGAUCCAUGAGCAAUGGCAAGCAAAAGCUAAGGUUGCGUCGUAG